rnacentral:lncRNA from 1 species
AAAUCAUGUGAUUUCACAUACUUGAUGUAAAGGAAUGCAUGCAUUGUGUCUUAACCCCUUAAGUGCCUUGCGACGUCUUUGUAUGUCUAAUGAAAAGGCACUCCUUUGACCCUACUAGGAGGUAUGUAUGUAUAUUGUACAUUUACAGUUUUAUGCAUUUUGAAUCAGUUCACCAUUUUUAAAAUGGCUUCUCGUAUUGAGAGUUAUGCAGUCAAAGGAGGGUAAUGAAAUUCUGUUUCUUACUCAAUUCCUGUAUUUUGCCACAAGAAGCCAAGAUAAUUUGUGACCUACUGAGUGAGUGCUCUGCUGCUAUGGAAUUAUUCAAAACCUGCACAUUCCUUUCCUGAGGGACAGGGGUUACAGUUUAGCAGCUGAAGUUAAAAGAUGCUUUAUUCUUCAAAUUUCAUAUUUAUUUUACCCCUACCUUUAGAAAUGGCACCUAAUAUACACUUUGAAGUUAAACAUAUGAAUAAGCUAAAGUUAAAGCAGCUAAUUGUGACUUGUUUCUAUCACUAACUAAAUUAUCCCUUUU